CAACAUGUUCGAAGAGGUGUGGCGGCGAGAACCAAGUGAGAGGACAUAUUUAAAGCGCUGGGCAGUGGCGUCUGGGCACACAAUUCACGGAUCCCAGCCGUCCCUCUCAGGAAAUGUGAUAAGAAGACGGACUUCGGGGCCUAGAAAACCUGGACUUGGCCCUUGGCGGACAGCGGUGGAACCGCCGGCAGGGCAAAUUGGGAGCGGAGGGAUCGGCGGUCCACGCGCAGGAUCUGCUGGGAGUUGUAGUCCGUAUCCUGCCUUGGAGCCGGCUGCGCCGCCCUUUCUUGGUGGCUCUUUGGUUUGGGCCCCGCUGGGCUGCCAGUUGCGAGGCGGCCCCGUUCAUCUUAGGGAGAAGCCUCUUCUGCCCGGCCAACCCACGGGCCUGGGUUUGUCCCUGCCCCGGGACGCCAAACACAGUCUGAUCGAGAAUUGCCCCUUGAGUUAGGAGAUGGAGGAGGGACCUGAAAAAAGUGGUCUCUCGACAGCGAGGGCGGGGGAGGGCCUCGUCGGACUCUCCUCAGUGUCUCCAGCGCCUAGUGAGUGGUCUUUUGAAUGACUGAAGGGUUGGUGAGGCAAGGUUUAUUGGGGGAUACCUGUCCAUCUCUUCUUGAUCGCUAAACGAGGCUUGACCUGGGCUGAAAGAAAUGCAGUAAGGGGCCACUUUCUCAGCUUCCUGGGAGCUGGGACCCUGGAACCCAGUAAAGACUGUUAUUCCAGACUUAGGAAUGGCCUGAGCAUAAGCCUGAAGGCAUGGAGCUGGUCUCGAGGCUUACCCUUCCGCUUCACCAAAAGCACCUUCUCCGAGAAGAGCCAGAGUGAUCAUUUGAAAAGAUCAUCCAGACUUGAACUGAGGGGCAUUGCUGGCUUGAAAAUGAUCCAAGAACAGAAGAAACACCUCUCAAAGGUCAUCCACCAAACAAACAAAAACUGAGAAACACUAUCUGUUGUUGUUGUUUUCUCCUCAGGAGUGAAUCUGGGCUAACUUUGGAUUUUCAGUAAGUCAUAUCCUAUAUGUAAAGCCUUCCAUUUUCCCCUCCUAUGUUUUGAUUCAUCUGAUCUGUAACCCUUUACAUCCAAUUAACCACUCACGUCUAUGACUUUUCCUUUUGCCAUGUUGUAAUUCUCAGACUGUCCUGAAUUGAAUUAUUAGGAAGUGCAGGCCUUGGA